rnacentral:tRNA from 1 species
GCCUGGGUGGCUCAGUUGGUUAAGCAUCUGACUUCAGCUCAGGUCAUGAUCUCACAGUUUGUGGGUUCGAGCCCCAUGUCAGGCU